rnacentral:rRNA from 1 species
UACGUAGGGGGCUAGCGUUGUCCGGAAUCAUUGGGCGUAAAGCGCGUGUAGGCGGUCCGGUAAGUCCGCUGUGAAAGUCGGGGGCUCAACCCUCGGAUGCCGGUGGAUACUGUCGGGCUAGAGUGCGGAAGAGGCGAGUGGAAUUCCUGGUGUAGCGGUGAAAUGCGCAGAUAUCAGGAGGAACACCGAUUGCGAAGGCAGCUCGCUGGGACGUUACUGACGCUGAGACGCGAAAGCGUGGGGAGCAAACAGG